rnacentral:ncRNA from 1 species
UGCGGUAACGCAAGCGAUCCCGGAGAAGCCGGCGGGAGCCCCGGGGAGAGUUCUCUUUUCUUUGUGAAGGGCCGGGCGCCCUGGAACGGGUUCGCCCCGAGAGAGGGGCCCGCGCCUUGGAA